rnacentral:rRNA from 1 species
UACGUAGGGGGCAAGCGUUGUCCGGAAUUAUUGGGCGUAAAGAGCGUGUAGGCGGCCAGAUAAGUCCGCUGUGAAAUCUCGAGGCUCAACUUCGAGCUGUCGGUGGAAACUAUCUGGCUAGAGUCCGGAAGAGGAGAAUGGAAUUCCUGGUGUAGCGGUGAAAUGCGCAGAUAUCAGGAAGAACACCCGUGGCGAAGGCGGCUUCCUGGACCGGUUCUGACACUGAGGAGCGAAAGCGUGGGGAGCGAUCCGG